AGAACUGUUGUGAAGAUUAAAGCAGAUCACAGAGACUUAAAGCUCUUAGAAGAAGAGAAUCAGCCUUUUGGUCAAUAGAACUGUGCUUGAGAAGGUUUCCAACCAUUGCUCCCAUUGGUUUUGCUGAUGAAAUGAAGAGGAAAGGCUGACGACAUGUUGAUCUUUUUCAUUGGUUACGAUCUCGGCGAUACUGAACAUGUGUCCUACAAGUUUCCCUACUGGCUUGGUGCUGAUAUUGGGGUGCCACAACCGGAUGACCUUAUCAUCUCCUGAAAAGGAGGACAGGGAAAGAUUGUUGGUUUUCUGAG
rnacentral:lncRNA from 10 species